rnacentral:rRNA from 1 species
CCUACGGGAGGCAGCAGUAGGGAAUCUUCCGCAAUGGACGAAAGCCUGACGGAGCAACGCCGCGUGAACGAAGAAGGCCUUCGGGUCGUAAAGUUCUGUUAUUAGGGAAGAACAAGUACCAGAGUAACUGCUGGUACCUUGACGGUACCUAACCAGAAAGCCACGGCUAACUACGUGCCAGCAGCCGCGGUAAUACGUAGGUGGCAAGCGUUGUCCGGAAUUAUUGGGCGUAAAGCGCGCGCAGGUGGUUCUUUAAGUCUGAUGUGAAAGCCCACGGCUCAACCGCGGAGGGUCAUUGGAAACUGGGGAACUUGAGUGCAGAAGAGGAAAGUGGAAUUCCAAGUGUAGCGGUGAAAUGCGUAGAGAUUUGGAGGAACACCAGUGGCGAAGGCGACUUUCUGGUCUGUAACUGACACUGAGGCGCGAAAGCGUGGGGAGCAAACAGGAUUAGAUACCCUGGUAG